rnacentral:rRNA from 1 species
GGGUCAGUAGGUUGGUCGUGCCACCGGUACGUACUGGUCUCACUGAUUCCUCCUUCCUGAAGAACCGUAAUGCCAUUAAUUUGGUGUUGCGGGGAAACAGGACUGUUACUUUGAAAAAAUUAGAGUGUUUAAAGCAAGCUAACGCUUGAAUACAUUAGCAUGGAAUAAUGAAAUAGGACGAUCGAUCCUAUUUUGUUGGAUUCUAGGAUUGACGUA